AUUAGAUGUGGUGAGAAAAGUAGCCUACUUUGUGAUUUUGAGUUGGCGGAUCGCUUGAGUUCAGGGGUUCUGGGCUGCAGUGAACUAUGUCGAUCGGGUGUCCGCACUAAGUUCGGUAUUGAUAUUGUGCUCCUGGGGGAGCUCGGGAGCACCAGGUCGUCGAAGGAGGGGUGAACCGGCCCAGGUCGGAGACGGAGCAGGUCAAAGCCCCCGUGUCGAUCAGUUGUGGGGUCGCGUCUGUGAAUAGACUCUGCAGUGCAGCCUGAGCGAUACAGCGAGACUCAGACUUUU
rnacentral:SRP_RNA from 1 species